GCAAGAUUAAAACUCAAAGGAAUAGACGGGGACCCGCACAAGUGGUGGAGCAUGUGGUUUAAUUCGAAGAUACGCGAAGAACCUUACCUAGCCUUGACAUAUUUUAGAACUCCGCAGAGAUGUAGAGGUGCCUUCGGGAGCUAAUUUACAGGUGCUGCACGGCUGUCGUCAGCUCGUGUCGUGAGAUGUUGGGUUAAGUCCCGCAACGAGCGCAACCCUCGUCACUAGUUACUAACGGUUCGGCCGAGGACUCUAGUGAGACUGCCUUCGUAAGGAGGAGGAAGGUGAGGACGACGUCAAGUCAUCAUGGCCCUUACGGCUAGGGCAACACACGUGCUACAAUGGUUGGGACAGUGAGACGCGAUACCGCGAGGUGGAGCAAAUCUAUAAACCCAAUCUCAGUUCGGAUUGUAGUCUGCAACUCGACUACAUGAAGCUGGAAUCACUAGUAAUCGUAGAUCAGCUAUGCUACGGUGAAUACGUUCCCGGGUCUUGUACUCACCGCCCGUCACACCAUGGGAGUUGAUUUCACCCGAAGCGGGGAAGCUAAACUGGCUACCCUCCACGGUGGAAUUAGCGACUGGGGUGAAGUCGUAACAAGGUA
rnacentral:rRNA from 1 species